GGAACUUCCUGGACUGUCUCCUCUCUGCUGCAUUGUUGUACCAGUGGACAUCUGCUCUCCUGUGGGCUUGGAUUAUCCCUACUCCUGUAAUUGCUCCAGUGUUGAAGCUGCGACAGUAUAGGAGGAUGGACAUGGAACUCUUACCUGUUUUCCACCACUUCAGCACAAACCCAAUACCUGUGCUCAAGGGAAGAAGAAAAAUAAAGACAUAAUGGUUGCUGGUA